ACCUCUCCUCUUUCUUUUGCUUUUCGUAAUCAGGGGCAAUGAUUUGCUUCCAUGACGCAUUGCAUUUCUCCAAGCUCUCCGCCACAGCGCGUGAAUCACUAUAGAAUCUUGUUGUUUAAACAAACCUACUGAGCUUUGAGCAUAAUUCUUUUCAAGGAAUUUUAAGUUAAUUUUUGUUCCAGAUCAAAAAUGAGAGUGGAUAAAACAACAGGAAAGGAUUGCAGGGAGAGGAAUCGGGCCGGGGAGAGGCGUGGUGCUUGUGGCGGAGGCGGAGCUUCGAUGAAGGAUGAUGGCUGUGGUUUACAGAGAUAACUGUUCCUAUUCUUCUUUUCUCUGUUUUUGUUUUUAUCUCAGAGAGAACUGGAUUUAGAUUAGCUAAAGCUUCACCUUUUAUUUUCAAAUAAAAUAAGUUAUUCGAGAG
rnacentral:lncRNA from 1 species